CGGAGGUGCGAGCGUUAAUCGGAAUUACUGGGCGUAAAGCGUACGCAGGCGGUUUGUUAAGCGAGAUGUGAAAGCCCCGGGCUCAACCUGGGAACUGCAUUUCGAACUGGCAAACUAGAGUGUGAUAGAGGGUGGUAGAAUUUCAGGUGUAGCGGUGAAAUGCGUAGAGAUCUGAAGGAAUACCGAUGGCGAAGGCAGCCACCUGGGUCAACACUGACGCUCAUGUACGAAAGCGUGGGGGAGCAAACAGGAUU
rnacentral:rRNA from 1 species